GGCAAAGAGAGCCAGAACCUCUGGACUAAUGUUUGCAGCAUUAAUUACUUUGGGAAAGAGAAUCAGAAAACUCAACGAGGCCUCUGAGGGAAACAAGCAACCAAACCCCCCACCCUAACUGAUACAGAUGUCCAUGAAUGUUUGCACCUGUAUGAUGACAACCAGACAGGAAAGGAGAUGAAAGCCUACCAUUAUGGCUCCAUUCUGGCAGGACCUCCUCUCUCCAACCAGUGUAUCCAUGCUCACUCCUCUCAUAUUAAAAUCUAGAUUUUACCACAA